CCCUUAGAUGUUCUGGGCCGCACACGCGCUACACUGAAGGAGGCAGCGUGUACUCCUGGAUCGAAAGAUUUGGGUAACCCGCGAAUCUCCUUCGUGCUAGGGAUUGAGGUUUGCAAUUAUCCUUCAUGAACGAGGAAUUCCCAGUAAGUGCAAGUCAUAAGCUUGCGCUGACUACGUCCCUGCCCUUUGUACACACUGCCCGUCGCUACUACCGAUUGAAUGAUUUAGUGAGGACUUCGGACUGGGACCGAUGCGGCUUUCGGGCUGCGUCGGUAUUCUGGAAAGAUGUCCAAACUGUAUCAUUUAGAGGAAGUAAAANUCGUAACA
rnacentral:rRNA from 1 species